UACGGGGGGGCGAGCGUUGUUCGGAAUUACUGGGCGUAAAGGGCGCGUAGGCGGCUUGCCAAGUCAGGGGUGAAUCCUGCAGCUUAACUGUAGAAGGGCCUUUGAUACUGGCGAGCUCGAGGGAGGUAGGGGUAUGUGGAACUUCCGGUGGAGCGGUGAAAUGCGUUGAUAUCGGAAGGAACGCCGGUGGCGAAAGCGACGUACUGGACCUCUUCUGACGCUGAGGCGCGAAAGCUAGGGGAGCAAACGGG
rnacentral:rRNA from 1 species